rnacentral:rRNA from 1 species
GAUGAACGCUGGCGGCGUGCCUAAUACAUGCAAGUCGAGCGAACAGACGAGGAGCUUGCUCCUCUGACGUUAGCGGCGGACGGGUGAGUAACACGUGGAUAACCUACCUAUAAGACUGGGAUAACUUCGGGAAACCGGAGCUAAUACCGGAUAAUAUAUUGAACCGCAUGGUUCAAUAGUGAAAGACGGUUUUGCUGUCACUUAUAGAUGGAUCCGCACCGCAUUAGCUAGUUGGUAAGGUAACGGCUUACCAAGGCAACGAUGCGUAGCCGACCUGAGAGGGUGAUCGGCCACACUGGAACUGAGACACGGUCCAGACUCCUACGGGAGGCAGCAGUAGGGAAUCUUCCGCAAUGGGCGAAAGCCUGACGGAGCAACGCCGCGUGAGUGAUGAAGGUCUUCGGAUCGUAAAACUCUGUUAUUAGGGAAGAACAAAUGUGUAAGUAACUAUGCACGUCUUGACGGUACCUAAUCAGAAAGCCACGGCGAACUACGU